rnacentral:rRNA from 1 species
GAUGAACGCUAGCGGCAGGCCUAACACAUGCAAGUCGAGGGGUAACUAGAGUGAUAGCAAUAUUACUUUGGCUAGACCGGCGCACGGGUGCGUAACACGUAUGCAACCUGCCUUAUACUGGGGAAUAACUUCGAGAAAUCGGCGCUAAUACCCCAUAACACUGCGGAGAGGCAUCUCUUUGCAGUUAAAGCUCCGGCGGUAUAAGAUGGGCAUGCGCCCAAUUAGCUAGUUGGUGAGGUAACGGCUCACCAAGGCUACGAUUGGUAGGGGUUCUGAGAGGAUGAUCCCCCACACUGGAACUGCGACACGGACCAGACUCCUACGGGAAGCAGCAGUGAGGAAUAUUGCGCAAUGGACGAAAGUCUGACGCAGCCAUGCCGCGUGCAGGAUGACGGCCCUAUGGGUUGUAAACUGCUUUUGUACGGGAAUAAACCCUUCUACGUGUAGGAGGCUGAAGGUACCGUAAGAAUAAGCACCGGCUAACUCCGUGCCAGCAGCCGCGGUAA